GACGAACGCUGGCGGCGUGCCUAACACAUGCAAGUCGAACGGAGUGGCGGACGGGUGAGUAACGCGUGAGUAACCUGCCUCUAAGAGGGGAAUAACAUUCUGAAAAGAAUGCUAAUACCGCAUACUUAGAGAUGGACUCGCGUCCGAUUAGUUAGUUGGUGAGGUAACGGCUCACCAAGACCGCGAUCGGUAGCCGGACUGAGAGGUUGAACGGCCACAUUGGGACUGAGGCACGGCCCAGACUCCUACGGGAGGCAGCAGUGGGGGAUAUUGCGCAAUGGGGGAAACCCUGACGCAGCAACGCCGCGUGAAGGAUGAAGGUCUUCGGAUUGUAAACUUCUUUUAUUAAGGACGCGGUACUUAAUGAAUAAGCUCCGGCUAACUACGUGCCAGCAGCCGCGGUAAUACGUAGGGAGCAAGCGUUGUCCGGAUUUACUGGGUGUAAAGGGUGCGUAGGCGGGACUGCAAGUUGGAUGUGAAAUACCGUGGCUUAACCACGGAACUGCAUCCAAAACUGUAGUUCUUGAGUGAAGUAGAGGCAAGCGGAAUUCCGAGUGUAGCGGUGAAAUGCGUAGAUACUCGGAGGAACACCAGU
rnacentral:rRNA from 1 species